rnacentral:rRNA from 1 species
UACGUAGGGUGCGAGCGUUGUCCGGAAUUAUUGGGCGUAAAGGGCUCGUAGGCGGUUUGUCACGUCGGGAGUGAAAACUCAGGGCUUAACCCUGAGCCUGCAGUGGGUACGGGCAGACUAGAGUGCGGUAGGGGAGACUGGAAUUCCUGGUGUAGCGGUGAAAUGCGCAGAUAUCAGGAGGAACACCGGUGGCGAAGGCGGGUCUCUGGGCCGUAACUGACGCUGAGGAGCGAAAGCGUGGGGAGCGAACAGG